CAGUCGAGGGGUAUAGUUCUUCGGAAUUAGAGACCGGCGCACGGGUGCGUAACGCGUAUGCAAUCUACCUUUUACAGAGGGAUAGCCCAGAGAAAUUUGGAUUAAUACCUCAUAGUAUAAUGACUCCGCAUCAAGAUAUUAUUAAAGUCACAACGGUAAAAGAUGAGCAUGCGUCCCAUUAGCUAGUUGGUAAGGUAACGGCUUACCAAGGCUACGAUGGGUAGGGGUCCUGAGAGGGAGAUCCCCCACACUGGUACUGAGACACGGACCAGACUCCUACGGGAGGCAGCAGUGAGGAAUAUUGGACAAUGGGCGCAAGCCUGAUCCAGCCAUGCCGCGUGCAGGAUGACGGUCCUAUGGAUUGUAAACUGCUUUUGUACAGGAAGAAACACUGGUUCGUGAACCAGCUUGACGGUACUGUAAGAAUAAGGAUCGGCUAACUCCGUGCCAGCAGCCGCGGUAAUACGGAGGAUCCAAGCGUUAUCCGGAAUCAUUGGGUUUAAAGGGUCCGUAGGCGGUUUAGUAAGUCAGUGGUGAAAGCCCAUCGCUCAACGGUGGAACGGCCAUUGAUACUGCUAAACUUGAAUUAUUAGGAAGUAACUAGAAUAUGUAGUGUAGCGGUGAAAUGCUUAGAGAUUACAUGGAAUACCAAUUGCGAAGGCAGGUUACUACUAAUGGAUUGACGCUGAUGGACGAAAGCGUGGGUAGCGAACAGGAUUAGAUACCCUGGUAGUCCACGCCGUAAACGAUGGAUACUAGCUGUUGGGAGCAAUUUCAGUGGCUAAGCGAAAGUGAUAAG
rnacentral:rRNA from 1 species